UGGCACGUGGGCUCAGUAGUUGUGGCUCGCGGGCUCUAGAGCGCAGGCUCAGCAGUCCCCCCAUAGUUCUUGCAUGCUGAUCAACUGAUGCUCGGGAAGGAAAAGUAAAACUUGGAGCUCCUCUCUGAUGAAGAUGAUACCUACAAGGGCAAAUUUGAGGCACCAUAUGUGAAAUGCUGGGACCCCUUGAUGAGAAAGGAGACAUCGAAAGCCAAGGAUGCUUGUGCAGUUACUCUGAUGCGGCAGUUUUCUGGUGCCAUCUAGUGCUUCACAGAAGCAAUGGCAGAUGAAUGGCUCAGUCGUAAAAGGACACAGGUUGCAGCAAAAUUAUCACCUGGUUCUCCUGAAAGAGAAGGUGAUACAGCCCAGAGCCCUUGCUGAGAAAGAUGUGUUCCUCAGAGGGAAAAACACAGGACAGCUAUUGUGGAGAAGCUUUUGGGCAGUUAAUGGAACAGCAUAUCAAUGAAUACAAGCAUACCUUGGAAAAAUUGCAGGUUCAGUUUCAGAUCACCACAAUAAAGCGAAUAUCAC